AGGACGAACGCUGGCGGCGUGCUUCAUACAUGCAAGUCGAACGAGAAAUUCACUUCGGUGGAUGGAAAGUGGCGGACGGGUGAGUAAAAUGUAGAGAAUCUGCCCUAGAGAGGGGGACAACAGAGGGAAACUUCUGCUAAUACCCCAUAUGAGCGUAGCUGAAAUGCUAUUCUUGAAAACUCCGGUGUUCUAGGAUGAGUCUGCAUCUGAUUAGCUAGUUGGGGGUGUAAUGGACCACCAAGGCGACGAUCAGUAGCUGGUUUGAGAGGAUGAUCAGCCACAAUGGGACUGAGACACGGCCCAUACUCCUACGGGAGGCAGCAGUAGGGAAUUUUGCGCAAUGGGGGAAACCCUGACGCAGCAACGCCGCGUGAUUGAAGAAGCCCUUCGGGGUGUAAAGAUCUGUCAGUGGGGACGAAACUUGACGGUACCCACAGAGGAAGCAUCGGCUAACUCCGUGCCAGCCGCAGC
rnacentral:rRNA from 1 species